AUGGAGAUCCUCUUCCUCUAUAGCUACGACAACUGCGGCAAGACCUUCGUCAACGUGGCUGCCUUGAGGAAGCAUGCCCACGUGCACAGUGGAUGGCAGUAUGUUUGCGAGGAGCCCGACUGUGGGAAAGUGUCUCCAGUAAAAGAUUACUUUAUGCCUUUACCAGUGCCUACUCUAGCGUUGAAAUUUGUAGAUAGCUCAAAGUUGAACAAUUCCAUCAAUGAUGAAUCCCUCCUCUUCUUCUGGCUUCCUUCAUCCCCGCAUCUGAUUCCUGCCCACAUCUCUGGGUACAAGAACUAG
rnacentral:rRNA from 1 species